rnacentral:rRNA from 1 species
CAGAGACUGCAAGCGUUAUUCGGAUUCACUGGGCGUAAAGGGUGCGCAGGCGGCCGUGUGUGUGAGGUGUGAAAGCCCGAUGCUUAACAUCGGAAUUGCACCUCAAACUAUACGGCUAGAGCAUUGGAGAGGGUAGCGGAAUUCACGGUGUAGCAGUGAAAUGCGUAGAUAUCGUGAGGAACACCAGAGGCGAAGGCGGCUACCUGGACAAUUGCUGACGCUCAGGCACGAAAGCGUGGGGAGCAAAAGGGAUUAGAUACCCCUGUAGUCCACGCCCUAAACGGUGCACACUAGGUCUUGGCGGAUUCGACCCCACCAGGGCCCAAGCUAACGCGUUAAGUGUGCCGCCUGAGGACUACGGUCGCAAGACUA